UCACUGGACCUCUGUGCAAUCAUCCACUGGCUCCGUCUCAAGAGCUUUUCACCCAAGGAGUUUUCUGAGGACAUUGUGGUCACACUUACGGUCCGUCUUCUGACAGAGUGAGGAAGAAGUGAGCAGCUGAAUUCAAAAAUGGCAGCGAAAGUUUGGUCGACCUUCUGCAGAUGAUGUCCUGAUGUUGAAUUCUGGAGAUCUGUGUCUCCCUCUGCAGCUGCUGACCUAGGCCAGGAACUGAACCAGCAACCUAUGCUGAAUGAAAAGAAAUGUCAUCUAAAGCCUCAAAUGACAGCACAUGUAAAAUAUAUGACAACAUCCUGAGUUCCCUCUUCCUUGAAGGCAUGUGUGGAAUUUUCAGUAGCUGUAGGUUUUUUUUUUCUUUUACAUGUCCAGAAGGAACAAGAGAAUCGAUGAAUGAGAUGAGGAAGAGGCAUCAGUAUGAGAGGAUAGGGACACAUUCAGCCCAGAGUACAAUGUGUCAUCUUCAGAAGAAGAAGAAAAAAAGUCCUCCAAGAGGAUUGAAAGAGAGACAUUUUUGUCAAAAGAACAAGGAAAAUAACAUGGUUCUCGUCACCAAGAGACAGCACAACUCUCAUAAAGGUGACAACGAGACAACGAUGGACUCCAGAUGCUUUGCCAAAGAGAAGCCAAUGGUUGCCAAUGCAUUGCAGAGGUCAGGGUAAUAUAUGUGUUCAAUAAUUUAAUAUGGGCCUCUAAGGAUAUUAUAAAAGGAUAAGAAAAAUGUGUGUGAAUUUGAAAUAUUACUAAGCUAUGUGCUGGAUAUGAAUAAAAGGAUUUACAACUGGACAACAUGUAGGUGUAAAAUAUUCACACAACAGUCAUUUGAGCAACGUAGGGGGAAAAAAAUGGAUUUUACAUUCACACCAAAAGCAGAUUAGUCAAUGUCAACAUUCACACUGGGAGACGCAAAUCCCAGGAGGGAGCGACAUUUUCAAAAUUGCAUAAAACAAUCUCAUAAAUGCCAAUCUUCUGACGUAGCUGUAAGAUUGCUGUGUUGAUGUGUGUUUGCAUCCUCCGCAAGCAAGACUGGAUGGAGAGAGAGAGGGGGCCACUUUGUCUCGUACACACAUGCAAUAUGGAUAAUUUAUAAUUAUUGGAAUCAAGCAUCAUGCAGCGCCAAGUCAACAUUUCAAAAUGUCAGUACUGCAAUUCUUAGACAACGAAUGGCAAUGUAAUGAUAUUAUCAUCAAAUGCAAACGUGCUAAAAAGCGAAAAUAAGAUUCAACGUCCUAGAAAUGUUGCUUUGGCGCUCAAGUCAUAGGGAAAAAACAUUGGGACAUCUUCAACUGUCCACCACUGAACUGUUAGAGCAAAAGUGCAUAUUUCUCUUAGUGAUGACUUACACAUAGUGUGCUUUGUGCUCUUGGUAAGGUCUCGGCACAAAUCUCGUCUUGAUCUUGUUAGCGUGGUCUUCACAGCAGCACUUCCAACUAACAGAACUUACAGUGAUGUUACAAUUUUCACUCUCUCUGCAAACCAGCUGUUAAGGAGGGAUAGUGCUGUCAGACUCAUUUAUGCUUCUUUUUUUCCCUUUUGCCACACUCUACAAAAAGGAUUGAUUAGAUAGACCUUUGAUUUUGAAGAACUCAGCCUGCAAACCCAUCUCCUAUGAAUUGCAUUUAUAUGCAGCUAAUGUGAAACAGCAAAUAGGUUUUGAAGGAACGCAAUUUAUGCCAGAUUUCACCUCACUAAUGAAUAAAAAAGUAACCUAUAUUAUCAUAUUUGACAAGUUGCAAGAACAUCAGUAAAAUGUUCAUUGACACUUUAAUAUUUUUUGAGACAAUAUUGAUUGGAAGCUGCUCGAAGUCUCAUUAAACUGUGUUAUGGUUCU